CCCCACCUCCCUACUCUCAGCACGCAGGCGCUGCUGCUGCCUCUCGUGGAUUUUUUUCUUUUUUUCCUGGAAGCCCUGUUGUUUCCAGGAGACUUGUAGUUUUUGGAAAACAGUUGCCUCAGAACUUACCUGUCUGUCUGACGGUUUAGGCUGCGCUCCCAGGGCUGGAGGCAGGGCAGGGGACUCCCGUCGCUUGCGGUAGGCUCCUGCCGGAGUAGCGGCGGCGGCGGUGUCCUGUGAACGCCUCAGGACGGCCGACACCUGCCUCUCCCUGUGCUGGCCUCGGGGAAUCCCACCGGCGUCGUCUUCGCUCUCCAUUUCCUUCCAGCUCUUUGUCCAGUCAGUCAGCAGCUCCCUGGACUGUGCCUUUUAGAGAGCUGGGGGGCCUCCGCACUUGCCUCCCCUCCUGGUCUAGGUCACCUGGCCCGUUGGAAGGGUCUUCACGUUUUCAGUCUGAGCUGCAUGACAGCAAGCAGUCUGCCGCCCAGCGGGUGCCCUUUCUGAAGUGCGCACCUGAUAGAGUCACCUGGCGCUGUGUCCGUGAAGUUCAGGCUCCCACAGCACUUCGCAUCCUCCUCUAUGGGCUGAUUGUGAGCACGGACUGCUGUUGAUCUCCAUUUACCUCUCUAACACUACGGAAGUGCCAAGGAAAGAGAAGUUACCUAUCCAGUGAAUCCUCCUCUCUGACUUCGACCCAGAUGCCAUUUCCAUUCUCAGAGUUUGACGUCCUUGGAUGAAAUCAGGAAUGGCAAACAACUUUGAGAACUUUGUGCUCAUAUGGUUAUAAAUGUGCCUGCUGAACAUUUUUGGUUUUGGUUCAGUUGUAAGCUGAUAUUGGUUUUGGAAAUGAGAAAAGAAAUCUCAAGGAGAUGUCAUCAAAUAAAAACUAAUUGCUCCACAAA